AAGGCAAACACAGAAUUUUUCCAAUGAGACAGCACAGCCCUCUUGGCUAUUUUGAGACCUCCAGGGACUGGGAGUCUCCUCCCCGGAGCAUCCUGGGCCCAGAGCAGAGCCUUCUCUGGUUAUCCUCACGGGCUCAUGUUCAGCGCCGGCGCUGGAAGAAGACACUCACAGGUUCAGCGGUGACGAGGCUCACAGCUGUGUGCUCGCUGGGAGGCCUCGGCGUCCCCCCUGCUGGCCCGCGGGCUCCCCGCCCCGCCAGCCCUUCUGCCCCUGCUGAUCCCCGGCCUGGCAGACCCCUUGCACCCUGGGCAUGGAAAUGCCCCUUCGUUACAAUCAGACGUCAUGGGAACGCUCGCAGUCUUUUCCUGCAUCUCCGUGGGCCAUUUCACUGUCCUCCGUGCGCCACCUCCUUCAAGAGCUGGGGGUCUGUUUUCUGUGCCCCUGGCUCCCAGCAGUAAGAGGGCCGGCUGGCAGCCAGCCAGAGGGUGAAGGCAGGUGGCUGUACUCUAAUUUUCAAGGUUUGAUCUUUGGGGGGGGGGCGGGUACUAUUCUGAGGAACCCCUCGAGCCUGAGGUGGCCCGGAGGUGGGCGGAGCUCCUUGUGCCUUUGUUCCAUCGUCACCUCCGGGCUCUCCCAGGCUUCGUAACUCACUCUGACUGUGACCCUGACUGCGACCCUGGAGCAAAUCUUUUCCACUCUCAGCCUCCUAACUUGUGGAGAGCCAGGCGUGUGCCCUCGAAGGCUGCUGUGCAAGAGAAACGAGCCCCGAGGCCAAGAACAGUCCGAAGGGGCCGCAGGGACGUUCCUCGUCUCCGCCCCCAGGGCAUCAGUGCUCCGGGAGGCCGGCUGAAUAAAAACGACCUUAAAUCCCA